rnacentral:rRNA from 1 species
CCCUUAGAUGUCCUGGGCCGCACGCGCGCUACACUGACAUGUCCAACAAGCCUCCUAGUUCGACAGGAUUUGGGAAAUCUUUGAACGCAUGUCGUGAUAGGGAUAGAUCAUUGCAAUUGUUGAUCUUGAACGAGGAAUUCCUAGUAAACGCGAGUCAUCAGCUCGCAUUGAUUACGUCCCUGCCCUUUGUACACACCGCCCGUCGCACCUACCGAUUGAAUGUUUCGGUGAAGAUUCCGGAUAGGACUUUUUUGAUUUAUUUCAAUUUUGUCUUAAAAGCUAUCUAAACCUCAACAUUUAGAGGAAGGUGAAGUCGUAACA